AAAAGCUUAAGUUAAAAUAAACUAAGGGCCUUCAAAGCCCUAAACAAGGGCCAACACCCCUUAGCUUUUG
rnacentral:tRNA from 1 species